AUUGAACGCUGGCGGCAUGCCUUACACAUGCAAGUCGAACGGCAGCACGGGUGCUUGCCCCUGGUGGCGAGUGGCGAACGGGUGAGUAAUACAUCGGAACAUAUCCUGUAGUGGGGGAUAGCCCGGCGAAAGCCGGAUUAAUACCGCAUACGAUCUACGGAUGAAAUCGGGGGACCUUCGGGCCUCGCGCUAUGGGGUUGGCCGAUGGCUGAUUAGCUAGUUGGUGGGGUAAAGGCCUACCAAGGCGACGAUCAGUAGCUGGUAUGAGAGGACGACCAGCCACACUGGGACUGAGACACGGCCCAGACUCCUACGGGAGGCAGCAGUGGGGAAUUUUGGACAAUGGGCGAAAGCCUGAUCCAGCAAUGCCGCGUGUGUGAAGAAGGCCUUCGGGUUGUAAAGCACUUUUGUCCGGAAAGAAAUCCUUGGCCAUAAUACGGUCGGGGGAUGACGGUACCGGAAGAAUAAGCACCGGCUAACUACGUG
rnacentral:rRNA from 1 species